UACGAAGGGGGCUAGCGUUGCUCGGAAUCACUGGGCGUAAAGCGCACGUAGGCGGAUUGCUAAGUCAGGGGUGAAAUCCUGGAGCUCAACUCCAGAACUGCCUUUGAUACUGGCGACCUUGAGUCCGGGAGAGGUGAGUGGAACUGCGAGUGUAGAGGUGAAAUUCGUAGAUAUUCGCAAGAACACCAGUGGCGAAGGCGGCUCACUGGCCCGGUACUGACGCUGAGGUGCGAAAGCCAGGGAGCAAACGGG
rnacentral:rRNA from 1 species